ACUACUAACCAUACUUGAAGUUAUAUGUGUUUCUGGUAAUUCUUAUUUGUGUGUGAUUUUUUUGGGAGUUCCCACAGAGUGUUUUUCAGCAGCUAAAAUAGUAUUACUGAGAUAACUAUUUAGAGCGCCAUUAUUUCACACCUUCCUGUUGUUAUAUAUAUAAAAUAGACCAGACCCCAAUUCUUCCUCUUUCUUUGCUGCUCCAAGUAGAGGCACAGGUCAGAGUACUUGUUCCUGAUAAUAUUUUCUUACAUUGUUUAUUAUUGCUG